GUGAUGACUGCGUUGGUGGCCGAUCGGUGAGCGGCGACGGACGGGCUGA
rnacentral:snoRNA from 1 species